AACCGAAGAGCAGACUGCUGCAUAGUGA
rnacentral:piRNA from 1 species